rnacentral:rRNA from 1 species
CACGUAGGGCGCAAGCGUUGUCCGGAAUUAUUGGGCGUAAAGAGCUCGUAGGUGGUUUGCUGCGUCCGCUGUGAAAACCCAAGGCUUAACCUUGGGCUUGCAGUGGAUACGGGCAGACUAGAGGUAGGUAGGGGAGAAUGGAAUUCCCGGUGUAGCGGUGAAAUGCGCAGAUAUCAGGAGGAACACCGGUGGCGAAGGCGGGUCUCUGGGCAGUAACUGACGCUGAGGAGCGAAAGCGUGGGGAGCGAACAGG